UCCAGACUCCUACGGGAGGCAGCAGUGGGGAAUAUUGCACAAUGGGGGAAACCCUGAUGCAGCGACGCCGCGUGAGUGAAGAAGUAAUUCGUUAUGUAAAGCUCCAUCAGCAGGGAAGAAAAUGACGGUACCUGAGUAAGAAGCCCCGGCUAACUACGUGCCAGCAGCCGCGGUAAUACGUAGGGGGCAAGCGUUAUCCGGAUUUACUGGGUGUAAAGGGAGCGUAGACGGCAGUGCAAGUCUGGAGUGAAAGGCGGGGGCUCAACCCCCGGACUGCUUUUGAAACUGUAUGGCUAGAUUGCAGGAGAGGCAAGUGGAAUUCCUAGUGUAGCGGUGAAAUGCGUAGAUAUUAGGAGGAACACCAGUGGCGAAGGCGGCUUGCUGGACUGUAAAUGACGCUGAGGCUCGAAAGCGUGGGGAGCAAACAGGAUUAGAUACCCGCGUAC
rnacentral:rRNA from 1 species